AAAACUUGCGGCCCUUUCUGCGUUUUCCGCCGCACCAUUGCAUAUUUUCUCUAUUAUUCUACAUUUUCGUUUAUUUUAAGAAUAUUAUAGACUACCCCAAAUAGAUUUGACUGCAAAUGUUAAAAGGUAUUAAGUUUAUGGGAUCUGUUUAGGCCAUUAAGUGCGGUUUUGGCAUGCCAAUUACGUGACUGAACCUGUUGUUGACCACAAAGCUAGAGCAGGAGCAAGGAACAAGCUUUAAACAGAACCUGGGGACAACAACAUUUUUGCUUGCUCCACCUUUGUAAAAGAGUCACCAUUCCUUUUUCGUCUCAUGGUGACAGAAUUUUCCCAGGCCUUGAUAUAGCCAACAAAAUCUUCUUCGAGCCAUUUUAACCUUUGGUCAUCAGCAGUAGUGAACUUUGCUUGUUGUGGCUUAUGAGCAAAGUUACAGGAAUUGCAAAUGUCAAAGAAACGAUCCAUGUUCCACACAAAUUUAGAAAAUUCUGUGUAACCCAUUUUUUUUAAAACAUGGCUGACAGAAUUGGAAAGAACCUGUGCAGCUAAACUGACACUCAUUUUUUCAAAAGAAUUUGGAUGGAUGUGCUCGUAAGAAAGUUUAUGUAAAUCCACCAAACAUUCUGGGCUUUGCUCAUUCUCACAAUAUAAAUCUUGCAUUGUGCUCCAUUGCAUAUAUUCACCAUUAUUCCAUAAUAAACGUGCCCCAUUAGA